GAUGAACGCUGGCGGCGUGCCUAAUACAUGCAAGUCGGACGGAGAUACAAUUGGUAUUCGUACUAGCUGUAUUUCAGUGGCGAACGGGUGAGUAACGCGUAGGUGACCUGCCCCGAAGAGGGGGAUAACAGUGCGAAAGCACUGCUAAUACCCCAUGAGAUCCUCCGGAUUAGUAGCUGGAGGAUGAAAGGGAUGCUCUGCAUCCGCUUUGGGAGGGGCCUGCGUCCCAUCAGCUAGUUGGUAGGGUAAAAGCCUACCAAGGCGAAGACGGGUAGGGGACCUGAGAGGGUGACCCCCACAAUGGAACUGAAACACGGUCCAUACACCUACGGGUGGCAGCAGUAGGGAAUAUUGCACAAUGGGCGCAAGCCUGAUGCAGCAACGCCGCGUGUGCGAAGAAGGCCUUCGGGUUGUAAAGCACUUUUCGGGGAGAAGAGGAAGGACGGUAUCCCCGGAAUAAGGUUCGGCUAACUACGUG
rnacentral:rRNA from 1 species